rnacentral:lncRNA from 1 species
CCACAUUUGGCUUGUAGACAUUCUCAACUAGCUACUGAUGUUGUUUUCUUUGUGUAAUUGGAUAAUUUUUCUUCCUUCUGCCCAUACAGAGUGUAAGCUGUCCCGCCCAGGCCCUCCUGCAACCAUAGUAACCAUUGAUGAAGAGAGUCCCAAUGGUACCGUCUUGGUGGAAAACAUGCAGAUAAACGGCCGUGCGCAGGAUCCAGGUCGAACCAUUUCGCUGACUCUGCUGGACAACUACGACUAUUGGGUGAUUUUGGAACCGGCCCAGCAGCGGCUGUAUCUCAACAGCACAGGACGCGUUCUGGACAGAGACCCCCCAAACUACAUCAUGACCAUAGUGGUGCAAGUCCAGUGCACCAACGAGCUGGUUGGUACUGUUAUUUUCCACGAGGUGCGGAUCGUCGUGAGGGACAGGAACGACAACAUCCCCCGCUUUCAGCAGCCGCGUUACUAUGUUGCCGUCAAUGAGCUCACGCCAGUCGGAACAACGAUUUUCACUGGAUUCUCAGGGAAUAAUGGCGCCACCGAUAUCGACGAUGGACCUAAUGGACACAUAGAAUACAGCGUCCUUUACAACCCCAAUGACCCGGAGUCCAACAAGACAGUAAGCGUUGGAAACACGCUUUCAGGGCACAUUAUCCUGGCAGAGAGGCUAAACUACGAGGAGAGGACACGUUACCUGGUUGUUGUCCAAGCUAAUGACCGAGCACCUUACCCACCCAACAGGCGAACGGCUACAACCACCCUGACCGUGGACGUUCUGGAUGGAGACGACCUGGGCCCCAUGUUCCUGCCGUGUGUGUUAGUGAACAACACGCGUGACUGCAACCCGCUCUCCUACCGCGCUGCUAUCCCUGAAUUCACUGAACCGAGCAAAUUGAACCCACUGAACGUGACCCCCCCGAUUCGUGCCGUGGACAUGGACAGGAACAUCCAGCCUCCAUCCAACAGACCCGGAAUUCUGUACUACAUCCUGGUUGGUCACCCAGCCACAUUUGCAGAGUAUUUCUCCCUGAACAAAACCACAGCGGAGCUGCGCGUUCUGCAACCAAUCAACAGAGACUUAUAUCAGAGGUUCACCCUCAUCAUCAAGGCUGAGCAGGACAACGGACACCCCCUCCCGGCCUACGCCGACCUCAUCAUCGAGAUCCUGGAUGAGAACAACCAGGCGCCGUACUUCCAGCUCGCCACCUAUCAGGGAUACGUGAGUGAGUCUUCGCCGGUGGGUACAACCAUCUCAGGCAGCUCAAACCUGACGACGCCCCUGGAAAUCAUCGCACUGGACAAUGACAUCGAGGAGACAAAAGACCCGUUGGUGAAGAUUUCCCUCGACAACUACGCCACGAUAUUUGGUGUGACUCCGACUGGCAUAGUGCGCUACCUGAGACUGGUUACACCUGUGGACCGGGAGAAGCAGAUGGCUUACACGUUCACGAUGGUGGCAUCGGAUGGUGUCCAGCAGAGCACCCCAGUGACUGUCAACAUCCUGGUCAUCGACGCCAAUGACAACACGCCCACAUUCGCCAAGGCCUCCUACAAUGUUGAAGUCUUCACCGACAUGCAGCCGGGGGAAACCGUUCUCCAGUUAACUGCAGCGGAUGCUGAUGAAGGAUUGAACGGCCUGGUGACGUAUGAGAUAUUGGCCGGGGCCCAGGGACACUUCAUCAUUAAUAAUCGCACAGGUCGCCUCACCGUGGCGCCAGGCGUGGCUUUAACUGUGGGACAGUCUUAUGCACUGACUGUCAAGGCCUCAGACGGGGCUCCAGAAACACAGCGAAGGAGCUCCAUCACCACCGUCUACAUUGAGGUUUUGCCACCCAAUAACCAGAGCCCGCCGCGCUUCCCCCUCCUCACCUACAGCCUGGAGGUCAGCGAGGCCAUGAGGAUCGGAGCGAUCCUGCUCAAUCUGCAGGCCACAGACAGAGAAAAUGACCCCAUCACUUACCGCAUUGUGAGCGGAGAUUCCCAGAAGGUGUUCAACCUCUCUGAAACGAUCGGGCUGUUACUUCUGGGGAAGCCUCUGGACAGAGAGAGCACAGAUCAGUACCGCCUGAUCGUCACAGCCUCCGAUGGGAACCCUGGAGGGACUUCCACCACCACGGUCGACAUUGUCGUCACAGAUGUCAACGACAACGAUCCCAAAUUUGACUUCGCCAUACCUGUUAACUUCACCGUCCGAGAAGAAGAGGCCGACCUUUUUGUGGGCCUUGUGAGGGCUACAGAUCCAGAUGCGGGGGCUAACGGCCAGGUGGGCUACCGGAUCAUAAAUCACCCCGACUUGUUUGUGAUCAGUGCCAAUGGCAGCAUCUACACGAAGGUGCCUCUGGACCGGGAGCUCCGGAGCCAGUAUGAUCUUGUUGUGGAGGCGUCGGACGGGGCUGUGGAUCCACGGCGGACCACCUUGACCCUCUCCAUCCAGGUCACAGAUAUUGAUGACAGCAGUCCGGUUUUCUCCCAGCAAAAUUACGUGGUGAAUGUUCCAGAAAACACGCCUGUGGGGACCGUCGUAUUGAAGCUAAGCGCAACAGACUCGGACCUCUUCUCCAAUGUCACCUACCGGAUCAGGACUGAGGCAGCCCGACAGCUGUUUUCUCUGAACCCUAUUACAGGGGAGCUGGCUGUGCUGCAGACGCUGGAUUUUGAGGACCUGGCAGCUUUGGGCAUUGGGACCUCUUAUGCUUUCCAGGUAGAGGCUAUAGACCAAGGAGGGAUCAUGCCCCCGGGGCAGGCAACUGUCACAGUCCGCAUCACGGUAGGAGACAUGAAUGACUUCUCACCCGUGUUUAGCCAAGACCUGUACAAAGGCAUGGUGGCACCCAAUGCAGAGAAAGGAACGGUGAUAACAACGGUGUUAGCGGAGGAUCGGGACCCUCCGGAUACCCCAGCCAGCUUUGUCCGCUACCGAGUUGACCUGGACAGGUCUCCCUACAGCGGCAGCAUCUUUGACGUGGAGGAGGAAACGGGAAGAAUCGUCACUAAGGUCAACCUCAACGAAGAACCCAGCGUCACCUUUAAGUUGUUUAUCAUCGCCUUUGACGACGGCGAACCGGUGAAGACCAACAGCACUCUGGUGGAGAUCACUGUCCUCCAGCCCUCUCGGAUCCCCAUCUUCACCCAGGAGGAGUACAGGUUUCCUCCAGUAAGCGAGCUGGCUCCAUUCGGCACCCCGGUGGGGACGGUUCUGGCUGCUGCUGUCAAUCAAAGCAUCUUCUACUCCAUCGUAGGAGGCAAUGAUUUAGGUCAUUUUCAGAUCAACAACAAGACAGGCGUCAUCUCCACAGCCAAACCUCUGGACUACGAAAAUGUGACAAGCUACGUCCUGCGGGUGCAGGCGGACUCCAUGGAGGUCGUCAUGUCCAACCUGCGCGUUCCCUCUAAAACUAACACAGCCAAGGUGUUCAUCGAAGUGCAGGAUGAGAAUGACCACCCACCCGUCUUCUCCAGGAAGCUCUACAUCGGCGGCGUGACAGAGGACACCAAGAUCUUCAGCUCCGUGCUCAAGAUAGUGGCCACUGACAAGGACACCGGGAAUUACAGCGAGAUGGCGUACCGCCUGAUUAUUCCGCCCACCCAAGAGGGCCAGGACAGCUUCGUCAUCGAGACCUACACAGGCAUCAUCAAGUCGGCCAUCAUGUUUCGGAACAUGCGCAGGUCCUACUUCAAGUUUCAAGUCAUUGCCACCGACGACUACGGAGCAGGGCUCAGCAGCAGUGCUGAAGUGGUGGUUUCUGUGGUCAACGCCUUGGACAUGCAAGUUGUUGUGUCCACCGUGCCGCCCACUUUAGUGGAGGAGAAGAAGGACGAGCUCAUUAGUAUUUUGGAGCGCCACGUCCAGGACCAGAUUCCGGGUGCCAAGGUGAUAGUAGAGUCCAUCGGCCCCCGUCGUCAUGGCGAUGGCUUUGAGCUAGAGGACUACACUAAAUCCGACCUGAUGGUCUACGCCAUUGACCCCCUCACAAACAGGGCCAUCUCUCCCAAGGAGCUCUUCAAAUUCCUCGAUGGCAACGUCCUGGAAAUCAAUAAGGAGUUCCAGCCGUAUCUGGGGGAAGGCGGCCGCAUCCUGGAGAUCCGCUCCCCCGACAUCGUGGCCAGCGUGAAGAAGGCCGCCCAGGCCGUGGGCUACACGGAGGGGGCGCUCCUGGCCCUGGCCAUCAUCAUCAUCCUCUGCUGCAUCCCCGCCAUCCUCAUCGUCAUGGUCACCUACAAACAGCGACAGGCAGAGUGUGCCAAAACUGCCCGGAUUCAGAUGGCUUUACCACCAGGAGGGAAAGCACCUGCAGCCGCUGCCCCCACCGCAAACCUGUAUGAGGAGCUGGGCGACGGUAGCAUGGCUAAAAAGUCUGUCAUUGAAGAGGCAGAGCGCCAACGGCUCCUUAGCACAUUCGCCUGUCGCGCCAUCACAGCCCGCAGCAACGGAGCGCUGCAGGUUAAUUUGCCCAGGUCGGAAAGCAACGUGACGUUCCUUUCCGACUGCAACCCACUCACCACUCGCAACCCCCUCUAUGAUGACAGCAGUCCCAGCAGUCCUGAUGUCUUUGCACAGAGGCGCGGCUUGCCUGAAAAGCGAUGGACCGCCUCCCCUUCCUAUUCACCCGGGUCGGGGGGGUUCAGAUCAGUGCCUGCUCGCAUUCACAGUGGACUGCCGGGUUGCGAGGGGCCAAGGAGGCAAGCUCUUAUGGACCCAGACGAUUGGGAGGCAUCAGAAGCCAGGAAAAGGCUGCAGAGUUUCAAUACACUUCAGCUAGGAGACAACACAGACACCAAGCUGUCCGUCCGUCAGCAGGCCAAGCAGUUUGAGCAGAAGGUCAUCCAGGAUCAAACCCUCAGGCAGAGCAGAGACUCCCCCAGUUCUCUUCCAUCCAUCAUUUUCAGGAACAGAAACAGUGACUCUGUAGUAGAGAGGUUCAGCUCCAGUAUCGGCAACUUCAUGGCACUUCAACCUUGUCAGAUCACGGUGGAAAUGAUCCCAGACCCACCAGAGGAUCCUCCGCCUCCCCCUCCAGAACGGCCACCUCCCUCCUCCCCAAAAACAUCCCCUCCUUAUAGUCUGCCAUCUACCCCUCCUUUACCCUCCCAUCUCCACAAACCCGAGUGCCCCCUUCAGCCGCCUCCUGGAUCCAGCAGCCAGGGGUCCCCCCCAACACCACCACCGCUCCCCCCACCACUCUCCCCAGCGAGCAAUCAGCUGUGCCAGCUUCUCCAGUUUGUUCCAGCAUCUCUGCCGCCGGUGUCCUCACUGCGUCCCGUCUCGCAGCGAAAACACCCCCCUCCUCCUGAGUCAUCUCAAACUGACUGUGGGAGGAAAAAGGAGCUCAAAGGGAUCCUGAAAAACAUCCAGAAUCUCGCUGACAUAGAGAGGUCCAUUGCCAACAUGUACAGCCAAGUAGACAAAAACUACAAGGUGCCCAAGCUUCAUCCUAAACCACAAGUGACUGAAGAAUCCGAAGACACCGAAAGUACUCAAAGAUACAGCCCCUUUGUGCAGAAUCCAAAUAUGGCAACAGGAAUAAUGUGUAAUUUUAGAUGA